AGCAGCCGCGGUAAUUCCAGCUCCAAUAGCGUAUAUUAAAGUUGUUGCAGUUAAAAAGCUCGUAGUUGAAUUUCGGGAUCAAUACGUCGGUCGUGCUUAGGUACGUACUGGCGUAAUUGAUUUCUCCCUUCUGACGAACCAUGAUGUCAUUAACUUGGUGUCAUGGGAAAUCAGGACUGUUACUUUGAAAAAAUUAGAGUGUUUAAAGCAGGCUCACGCUUGAAUACAUUAGCAUGGAAUAAUGAAAUAGGACGUUCGAUCCUAUUUUGUUGGUUUUUAGGAUCAACGUAAUGAUUAAUAGGGAUAGUUGGGGGCAUUAGUAUUCAAUUGUCAGAGGUGAAAUUCUUGGAUUUAUUGAAGACUAACUACUGCGAAAGCAUUUGCCAAGGAUGUUUUCAUUAAUCAAGAACGAAAGUUAGGGGAUCGAAGACGAUCAGAUACCGUCGUAGUCUUAACCAUAAACUAUGCCGACUAGGGAUCGGAUGAUGUUAAUUUUUAAUGACUCAUUCGGCGCCUUAAC
rnacentral:rRNA from 1 species